rnacentral:rRNA from 1 species
CACGUAGGGGGCAAGCGUUGUCCGGAUUUAUUGGGCGUAAAGAGCUCGUAGGCGGCUCAGUAAGUCAGGUGUGAAACCUCCAGGCUCAACCUGGAGACGCCACCUGAUACUGCUGUGGCUAGAGUCCGGUAGGGGAGCGUGGAAUUCCUGGUGUAGCGGUGAAAUGCGCAGAUAUCAGGAGGAACACCGGUGGCGAAGGCGGUUCUCUGGGCAU